rnacentral:rRNA from 1 species
GGCGGCAUGCCUUACACAUGCAAGUCGAACGGCAGCACGGGGGCAACCCUGGUGGCGAGUGGCGAACGGGUGAGUAAUACAUCGGAACGUGUCCUGUAGUGGGGGAUAGCCCGGCGAAAGCCGGAUUAAUACCGCAUACGCUCUACGGAGGAAAGGGGGGGAUCUUAGGACCUCCCGCUACAGGGGCGGCCGAUGGCAGAUUAGCUAGUUGGUGGGGUAAAGGCCUACCAAGGCGACGAUCUGUAGCUGGUCUGAGAGGACGACCAGCCACACUGGGACUGAGACACGGCCCAGACUCCUACGGGAGGCAGCAGUGGGGAAUUUUGGACAAUGGGCGAAAGCCUGAUCCAGCAAUGCCGCGUGUGUGAAGAAGGCCUUCGGGUUGUAAAGCACUUUUGUCCGGAAAGAAAACCUCCGCCCUAAUAUGGUGGGGGGAUGACGGUACCGGAAGAAUAAGCACCGGCUAACUACGUGCCAGCAGCCGCGGUAAUACGUAGGGUGCAAGCGUUAAUCGGAAUUACUGGGCGUAAAGCGUGCGCAGGCGGUCCGCUAA